CGCCUCUUGAAACUACAUAAGAGGUCCAGCCUGCCCAGUGACUAAGUUCAACGGCCGCGGUAUCCUAACCGUGCGAAGGUAGCGUAAUCACUUGUUCUUUAAAUGAGGACUAGUAUGAAUGGCACCACGAGGGUUAUGCUGUCUCCUUUUUCUAAUCAAUGAAACUGAUCUCCCCGUGAAGAAGCGGGGAUAUACCCAUAAGACGAGAAGACCCUAUGGAGCUUUAAACCAUGUAACACUGGCUUUAACAUUAAAAUAUUCCAGAAUUUUCAUAACUACUCUAGCUAUUAUGAUUACUAGUUUUAGGUUGGGGUGACCGCGGAGCAAAAAUUAACCUCCAUGUUGAACGGAGCUACUCCUGAGCCAAAAGCCACGACUUUAAGCACUAAUAAAUUAACAUCAAUUGACCCAAUAUUUUUGAUCAACGAACCAAGUUACCCUAGGGAUAACAGCGCA
rnacentral:rRNA from 1 species